CCUUUAGUCCUUGGGAUGGCAUGCUGGUUCUAUUAAAAUACAUCAACACAUAUUCUAACGACUCCAUGACACCUUGGCGACUCUGCUCGGUACGGAGAUUGUAUUGAAGCCAGCAUUUGUGGAGGUGCCAGUGAGGUAUUUAUCUUCUCUGUGUGGUAUGUGUUGCUUGGUCUUGUUGUCUCUGUACUUUUGGCCAAACCAAAAUCGGUAAGGAAUAACUUACUACAGUGAUGCCUAGUACCCAUGAAGAAGUUAUCUGAGAAUGUGUGUAUAAAAUUCUUUUGUAUGCAUGUAUUCAGUUCUGAUCAUCUGGUUAGCCAACAUAAGGACAGUUUUCACCAUGAACAGAAAUGGAGUAGGACUUCCACGCUGGGUCCCAGGAGAUGCAUGCCUAGUACAUAAUAGGCUUUUUCCUGAUCAUACCACUGUGCGUGGGGGAUGCCAGCCCGCCUCGAAGAAUCUUACCGAGUUUGCUCUCCUACAGCAACUGGGGACACCCGACCUUCUGCGACUCUAGCUUGCUGCCACUUCCUCACCAUUGAUGAUGCUGAGCGCCAGAUAAGUGUCCCAGAAGGAGCCAGACCUGAUCUCCCCUACCAAUUUGUAUUUUGCUCUGACAGUCAUGGAUCCGAGUGUAGCUUCCCAUCCUGAGACAAAAGUGGAGGCUGCGGCAAGUCCGGACACCUCAGAGGGGACGACGGAGGGCUUUGAGUCUCGUCCACGGGGCGCGGCUGCCAGGGAGGGCGCCAGGAAGUGGACAACUGAGGCCUUUCCUGGCGUCACAAUGCCCAGAAUCGGCACAGGGAUCUCAUCAGCACUGCUCAGUCGGGUUUCUUUUUGCCAGGCUACCGAUUGUGAGGCAGCUCUCAGGGGUACUAGGCUGGGCCACUUGUGUCUGGGCUACUUGUUUCUUUUGCGGCAGCGUUGUGGGCUGGAAAGGGUGCAGGGAGUUAGGGUGGCGAUACUGCUGCCGCCUCCGGCUCUGACCAGAAGGGACCCCUGUGACUCUGCCCAUGCCGCCAUCUUUGUGGCUCCAGUUCUUGCCUUCAUCCUUAAGCCUCAGAGACCUGCUUUGGGGAAAGUUCAGAAGUUCUGUGGUUCUGAAUGUGAAAAAGAAAUGAUUGCAUCAUUGUUGUUGCUGUGCUGGGGUAUUUUCUGGGGAAACAUUUCCCUUCCUUCAUAG
ensembl:lncRNA